rnacentral:rRNA from 1 species
UACGUAGGGUGCAAGCGUUAAUCGGAAUUACUGGGCGUAAAGCGUGCGCAGGCGGUUUUGUAAGUCUGUCGUGAAAGCUCCGGGCUCAACCUGGGAAUUGCGAUGGAGACUGCAAGGCUAGAAUCUGGCAGAGGGGGGUAGAAUUCCACGUGUAGCAGUGAAAUGCGUAGAGAUGUGGAGGAACACCGAUGGCGAAGGCAGCCCCCUGGGUCAAGAUUGACGCUCAUGCACGAAAGCGUGGGGAGCGAACAGG